AGUGAACGCUGGCGGUAGGCCUAACACAUGCAAGUCGAACGGCAGCACAGAGGAGCUUGCUCCUUGGGUGGCGAGUGGCGGACGGGUGAGGAAUACAUCGGAAUCUACUCUGUCGUGGGGGAUAACGUAGGGAAACUUACGCUAAUACCGCAUACGACCUACGGGUGAAAGCAGGGGACCUUCGGGCCUUGCGCGAUUGAAUGAGCCGAUGUCGGAUUAGCUAGUUGGCGGGGUAAAGGCCCACCAAGGCGACGAUCCGUAGCUGGUCUGAGAGGAUGAUCAGCCACACUGGAACUGAGACACGGUCCAGACUCCUACGGGAGGCAGCAGUGGGGAAUAUUGGACAAUGGGCGCAAGCCUGAUCCAGCCAUACCGCGUGGGUGAAGAAGGCCUUCGGGUUGUAAAGCCCUUUUGUUGGGAAAGAAAUCCAGCUGGCUAAUACCCGGUUGGGAUGACGGUACCUAAAGAAUAAGCACCGGCUAACUUCAUGCCAGCCGCCGCGGUAA
rnacentral:rRNA from 1 species